ensembl:lncRNA
UGGCAUGACACUAAAGUUGUAAAUUAAAUUUAGGUAGAAUCUCCAGACAUACCUGCUCAGCACACUUAUGGAUGUUGGCCUGUGCCUUGCUCAUCCCCAAACCAAAGAAGAUGCUCCAGGCUCUGUAAUGGCAACUGAAGGAGGUUAUUCAAAUACCACUGGGGCUGGGAGUCAGCCACAUGGUCAUAGUUAUGCUGGGGCAAGUCCUUCUCUUCACACUCACUUCUGUUUUCCUCUCAUGCUCCACCCUGUCCUCUCCACCCCAAGGUGGGGGAUGGGCUUCUGAUACCACUGCUCUCAGCUGCCUUUUUAAAGACUGCUCCAUCAUAUCCACGCAGACAAUCAACCCCGGAUCACAGUUGCCUGGAUCUAACUUCACCCCUUGAAACUUGUCCCAUACUUGCUAUUGUCUGCAAAAUGUUUACCAGGAGACCUAAUACUCUUGCCAGGGCCUACCUUUUGGGACUACUCUUCCACAAUCUCUCAGGGUCCUGGGCCCAGGUGCAGCUGGUGGAGACAGGAGGCAAACUGAUGUAUGAGGGCCAGGACUUGACCUUGACCUGUACAGUCUCAGGGUCCCUCCGCUUUAGUGACUUUUCCUUUUCCUGGCACUGGAGCCCAUCUGGAAGCUCCAAGGAGUUUGUGGCCAGCAUCACUGCUGGGAUAGGUGACAAACAGGAUUACAGGAGGGACAUUCAGGAUAGAGCCUUCAUUUCCAGGAACAACGAUGCCAGUAGAGUGUCACUGACUCUGCGCCAUCUGCGGAAGGAGGACUCAGGCAUUUACUACUGUGCGAGACUCACCGUGUUGAGGCCCAGGCCCAGGCCCUGACACAAAACCUGCACUCCCUGACACAGGACCAAGACUGGAGCUGUGAACAUAGCUCCUGCCUCUUCUAUGAACCCAGGCAUGGGAAACCUCUUACUAUCCACCCUGCUAAUGUGCCUCUGCGUGUGUGUGGGUGUGUGUGUUUAUAGACUAGGGCAGAGACAAGCUGUGUUUAUUUGUCUUUCUAGCAGAAAAAAGAGAUUCUCUCCUAGCCUUCACCACCUUUCCAUACCUCUAAUGGCUCUAGCUACUUGCCUUGUUCUUAUUUGAUGCCCCCCUUAUCUACCAACCUUGGGUGAGUGCCAGGUUGGUUAGUAUUGGCUAAGCUGACUUUGGCUUUUCCAUACACCUGCAAAUCCAUUUCAGAAUGUGCUGAAUCAGUGACAGGCCCCUUGUUUCUGAAGAAUCUACUGUAGUUAGAAUAUAUGAGGGGCUAGGAAGGUGGUACAAUGGAUAGAGCAUUGAGCUUGAAGUCAGGCAGACUCAUUUUCCUGAAUUCAAAUCUGACCUCAGACACUUACAGGCUGUGUGACUCUGGGGAAGUCACUUAACCCUGUUUGCCUCAGUCCCUCAUUUGUAAAAUGAGCUGGAGAAGGAAAUGGCAAAUCACUCCAGUAUCUUUGCCAAGAAAACCCCAAACGGUGUCAUCAAGAGUUGGGCAUGACUUAACAACAACAACAAACAACAGGAAGCCGGUGAACCAGGAGGGCAACUUUAUAACACAUUCAUCUCUUUGGACCUGUAACAUGAGGGGGCUGUGAAUUCCAGCACAAUCAGCCAGUGCCAAUUUUAAAGAGAAUUUGUAUGCAAAACUUCAAGAUACUGAAGACAGUCUUAAAUUCUCUUGGUCUGGGAUGAGUUAGAAACUUCCCUGUAAGUGUCAAUACAGGGAGUCUUAGAGGACACUAGAGAUCUCCUUUCAAGGAACCAUGAGAAAUCUCACAUACUUAUUGUCACAAGUGCCAUCCCAAUAAUAAUAAUAGUGCCCAGAAAUCAAGCAUGCUUUUAGGUAGCUGACUAGUUCCUGAAGGAUAUAUAUUGCAUUAGUAAGAGUAAGUCAUAGGAUAGAGCUAUGGUGACCUGAAUGAGUACACCUAGAGGGCUUGACCCUCAAAUCUCCCCCUGGCCACUAGCUUUCAGGAAGGAUAUCUCUAUCCUAUAGCCCUUCAACAGUAACAGAGAAUAUAGGGAGCCUAAGGAUGGUCACAUUCUUCCAGGAAAAGUGUUGAUUAUCCAAAAGCUCCUAGGUAGGAAACAUCCCAGAAUUCCAACUAAGAGCACCAAUAGUCAGGUCACCUCAUUGACCUCAUAAGUCCUGAUGAAUCAGAGACAUGAAAGUGUAAUAGGCAUAAACUGGGGAAAUGAAGAGCAAGGGAAGGUGUGAGGCUCAAUAAAAGGCAAUUGAGAGACA